rnacentral:tRNA from 6 species
GGGGGCGUAGCUCAGUUGGUUAGAGCGCCGGCCUGUCACGCCGGAGGUCGCGGGUUCGAGCCCCGUCGCUCCCG